CAGUAGCCACGGGAAUACGAAGGGUGCAAGCGUUAAUCGGAAUUACUGGGCGUAAAGCGUGCGCAGGCGGUUUGUUAAGACAGAUGUGAAAUCCCCGGGCUCAACCUGGGAACUGCAUUUGUGACUGGCAAGCUAGAGUGUGGCAGAGGGGGGUGGAAUUCCGCGUGUAGCAGUGAAAUGCGUAGAUAUGCGGAGGAACACCGAUGGCGAAGGCAGCCCCCUGGGCUAACACUGACGCUCAUGCACGAAAGCGUGGGGAGCAAACAGGAUUAGAUACCCCGGUAGUCCCUGUCUCUUAUAC
rnacentral:rRNA from 1 species